AACAAGUAUUAAAGGCAACGCCUGCCCAGUGAAUAAUUAAACGGCCGCGGUACCCUAACCGUGCAAAGGUAGCAUAAUCAUUUGUCUAUUAAUUGUAGACCUGUAUGAAAGGCAAAAUGAGGGUUUAACUGUCUCUUAUAAUAAAUCUAUUAAACUGAUCCCUCAGUAAAAAAGCUGAGAUAUUCCCAUAAGACCAGAAGACCCUGUGAAGCUUAAACUAAACCAUUAAACCAAAUAAUGACUACUUUAGGUUGGGGCGACCUUGGAAACAAAAAAAACUUCCAAACAACACCACUAAUACCCAGGCCUACAAGCCAAUCAACGACCCAGUAAACUGAUAAUUGAAAAAAGUUACUCCAGGGAUAACAGCGCUAUCUUCUUCAAGAGCCCAUAUCAAAAAGAAGGUUUACGACCUCGAUGUUGGAUCAGGACACCCAAAUGGUCAGCCGCUAUUAA
rnacentral:rRNA from 1 species